GUGUCCAGCCCAGCUAGAGAAGGCUCCUCGGAAACUUCAGUCGACUCUGGAGAGGGCGGGAGAGAUGCCCAGCCCCUUAAAGGAGAAUACACACAAUUUUGGAAAAGUGGAGAGGAAGUGGAGGAGCCUAAGAAAGAGAGCAUGAAACAUAUCUCAUGUGAAGGGUCCAGUGGAAAAGUAGGGAGAGAAAUUGAAACAUCUGCAGGAUACAGACACAGGUACAGGGAGAAAAGGCAGCUGCAAGAGUCCUGGUGCCCAAUCUGUCUCCCUCCUCUCCAUCUUCCCAAAGACACUGGAACUAGGAUGCGACUGUCUUUGCCUCUGAGCUGAGGAAAAGUCCCCGGGAGACGGACAUCGGACAUCAUAUGUGGAAGAGAUCGCAGCUACAAAGCAGAUAGAAAGGCCAGGCUUGCCUCACCUGGCCAAUCGGACAUUGUCAUUGUCAUCUUUGCCCCACUCCCAGCCCUUUCCAGGGUCCACAGCAAAGUGCAAGGGCAGCAGCUUAUGCUCUGAAUCUGUAAGUGGGAUCACAGCUGGGAAGGAAAGAAACAUGAUCAAGGAGUCUCUCUGAGGAGAGAGGAAGGCAACUGAACACAGACUGACUUCAGUGAAAAGGAGGCUGAACCAUACCAAAGGUCUCUAACUGCAGUCAGUUCGUAACAUGUGAAUUACCUUAGCAUUUAAAAACUUAACAGGCAGGUUUUCCCUUGUAACCCAGCACACAAUUUAGGCUACUAAUCUCCGUGACUUCCCACCAGUCAUCUAGCACCUAUGAUGUUCUUGCCAGUUAACGGAGAUUCAGGGAAUUCAAAGUCAUUAUCAAGACAAAUAUAGCAAAGCAUCAUUUGGAAGGUACUAUGACCUUACUGUAUUAGCUCUUUACUCCAGAGCAGGGAAUACAGGCUGUGUUUUUCUCCAAACCUUUUUUUAAUUUUAAA